GUGUCAGCAGCCGCGGUAAGACGUAGGGGACGAGCGUUGUCCGGAUUUAUUGGGCGUAAAGCGCGCGCAGGCGGCCACGUAAGUCGGAUGUGAAAUCCCGGGGCUCAACCCCGGAACUGCAUUCGAUACUGCGUGGCUCGAGGUAGGUAGGGGAGAUCGGAAUUCCUGGUGUAGCGGUGGAAUGCGCAGAUAUCAGGAGGAACACCGGUGGCGAAGGCGGAUCUCUGGGCCUUACCUGACGCUCAGGCGCGAAAGCUAGGGGAGCGAACAGGAUUAGAAACCCCCGUAGUCC
rnacentral:rRNA from 1 species